GGUCAUGGCUCAGUAAUACAGCAUCUGCUUGGAAUGCAGAGGAUCUCAGGUUCAAUUCCCGGCAUCUCCA
rnacentral:tRNA from 1 species